rnacentral:rRNA from 1 species
CAGCAGCCGCGGUAAUACGUAGGGUGCGAGCGUUAAUUGGAUUUACUGGGCGUAAAGGGCGCGUAGGCGGUUCGUUAAGUCUGUUGUGAAAGCCCCGGGCUCAACCUGGGAAUGGCAAUGGAUACUGGCGAGCUAGAGUGUGUCAGAGGAUGGUGGAAUUCCCGGUGUAGCGGUGAAAUGCGUAGAGAUCGGGAGGAACAUCAGUGGCGAAGGCGGCCAUCUGGGACAACACUGACGCUGAGGCACGAAAGCGUGGGGAGCAAACAGGAUUAGAUACCCCUGUAGUCCCUGUCUCUUAUAC